rnacentral:rRNA from 1 species
GACGAACGCUGGCGGCGUGCCUAAUACGAUGCAAGUCGAGCGGACCCUUCGGGGUCAGCGGCGACGGGUGAGUAACACGUGGGUAAUCUGCCAACUGACUGGAAUAACGCCUGAAACGGUGCUAAUGACCGGAUAGGCAACUGGUAGGCAUCUACCGGUUGGAAAGGUGCAACUGCACCGCAGAUGGAGGAGCCCGCGGCGCAUUAGCUAGUUGGUGGGGUAACGGCCUACCAAGGCGACGAUGCGUAGCCGACCUGAGAGGGUGACGGCCACACUGGGACUGAGACACGGCCCAGACUCCUACGGGAGGCAGCAGUAGGGAAUCUUCCGCAAUGGGCGCAAGCCUGACGGAGCAACGCCGCGUGAGCGAAGAAGGCCUUCGGGUUGUAAAGCUCAGUCACUCGGGAAGAGCGGACGAGGGAGUGGAAAGCCCUCGUCGAGACGGUACCGAGAGAGGAAGCCCCGGCUAACUACGUG